rnacentral:lncRNA from 1 species
AAAAAUAAAAAUAGUAAAAGAUAAUUUUUAUUUUUAUUUUAAUUUUAAUUUUCGUUUUUUUUUUAAAAAAAAGAUAAAAGAAAAAAAAAUAAACAAUAAAAAAAAUGAAAUAAAAAGAAAAAAAAAUAAAUAGAAAGAUAGAAAGGUAGAAAGAUGGAAAGAUAAGGAGAAGGAUGAGGGAAAGAAUGUGAAGAAGAAUAAGGAGAAGAAUAUGGAAAGAUAUUAUUUUAUUUUAUUUUCGUUUUUUUUUAAAAAAGAAAAAUAAAAAUAAAAUAAAAAAGAAAAAUAAAACAAAAUAAAAU